ensembl:lncRNA novel transcript
ACACUGAGCUCUGUUCCAUUCCCACUUCUCCACCUUCAGAAAGCCUUCCCUGAUCUCCACACACUAUCUCCACCCUCUCAGCCAAAGGUGCUCCUCCUCCGUAACCUCCAGAGCGCUGUGCACCGGCAUGCCCUGCUUAGUAGAGAGUGAGUCCUUGAGGGUGAGGCUGGGAUUAAUUUCCCACCGCAUCCUGAAAGACAAUUCAGAGUAGGAAUUUGGAGAAUGCUAAAUCUGUCUAGAACAGUGCUCCUCAAACUUUAAUCUGUACACCAACCACCUGGAAAGCUUGUUAAACUGAAGAUUCUCAUACAGCAGGUCUGAGUGAGGCCCAAGAUUCUACCAAGACCCAGGUGAUGCUGAUGGUCCUUGGACCAUACUUUGGAUAACUUGGCUGAACAUUGGAAUCAUCUGGGGAAGUUUUAAAAGGCUCCCUGCGUGGACCACACCUCCAGAGUUUCUGAUUUAAUGGGUAAUGCACCUGGGCAGCAGAAAGUUGUAACAGCUCUCCCGGUGUUUCUAACGUACUUCAAAGUUUGAGAACCAUGGUGCUGCAGGAAAUUUGCCAUGGGCUAUACAACCUUCAAAAUAAAGGCUGUGGUUCCCUGCAACACUGGGAAGAAGAGUGUCAAUGGUACCUUAUGUUUCUGGAGUUUGAAAAGGACUUUAUGAUUACAUCUAUUAUUUCUUAGUUCCCUCCAACGUGGGAGGAAGGCGUCCUUCAGAUAAGCAGCAGGCUCAGCAAGAUGAUCCUUACAGAGCUGAGACAUUAAUCCAGAUUGCUUUAGGGGAAGAAUUCUUGAUUGUCUAAACACUGAAGUUGUCUCAUUGGAAAGUUCAAGUAAAUAAACUUCAAGUGGGACGGCCAUAUUCCUUGACAACUCCAUGCUGAGGCACAGUAACAAAGAUGUUCUGCUGCCCAUUAGAGGCACCCAGCGAAUGGCAGGGGUGGAGACACAGGUUUCAGAAGUGCAUGCACACCUGAGAGGAGUGAGCUGACAGACCCUGAUAACGGAGGCAGCAAUUGUCAACGAAGAGAUGGCACUAAUCGUUAUUUGGUUUUGUCAGCAACACUGGGAUAUUUGCUGAACCGCUCAGGAGAUUUUCUUUCCCCCCAGCUUAGAAGAAACAAAUUUGAGCACUGUUUGGAAGAAGACGACAGCAGAGAGAUGGCAGGAAAAGUAAGAGCAGGUGGAGAGAGAGGAUACAGGCCUGGGAAACUUUCCUAGUCACUUAGAAGUGUGGUCUUCCAGUCAACACAAGGAGUUAAAGAAAGCUACAGCCACUGCAGUGAGUACUUUUCAGUUACCAAGGCAAGGCAUUUUUUUUUUCCACCACAUGGCAGAAUCAAAGUGGGUAGAAUUACUUUGUGCAUAUAUUCCAGUCAUGUGUUUUCAUUUUUCCCAAGAAAAGCUGUACUGGAUUGAGUCAUGUCCCACAUAAUUUAGGUUCACCCAGAAUCUCAGAAUGUGACUUUAUUUGGAAAUAGUGUCUUUGCCGAUGUAAUUUAUGAUGACAUCAAACUAGAAUAGGGCAGGCUCUGAAUCCACUAUCAGACUAAGAGAAGACACAGGGAACAGAGAAGAAACACAGGUAGAACCCCACAUGAAGGUGGAGGCCAACAUCAGAGUGAUGUGUCAACAAGCCAAGGAACAGGAAGGAUGACCCAUGGCCACCAGAAGCUGGAGAGAACCAUGAAACAGAUUCUCCCCCAGAGGUCCAAGAAGGCAGAAGCCCUGCCCACACCACGAUUUCAGACUUCUGGCCUCCAGAACUGUGAAAAAUACAUUUCUGUUGGCCACUCAGUUUGUGAUAAUUUGGUAUGGCAGCCCUGGGAGAUGAAUACAGAAGACUUGUUUAUAAAAUUUCAGUAAAGAACCUAUUGAGGUGUUUUUGAACAAGAAAUGAUUGAAUCUACAUGGACCCAAUUGGUCAUCCAGAAUUCACCAUCAUUGUCCCCCAGCAUGGAGCGAGUACCCUUUUCUUUAACCUGCUAGGACCUCUUCAGUACAAAACAAUAUCACAGAAAACUUUGAAUAAAGAUUAAGUCCUGGAUGGCAUGGCCAGUUAGUUACUAGCAAGUUAACACAACAUGCCGUCUCAACUUAAAAUUCUCUUCUGGUUGUUAUUU